AAAAGCAACGCAGCCACCUCUCCUCUCCUCGCUCACCUCCUACUCUCCCCCACGCCGCCCCUUCUCUCUCCCCGCUCGUCUCCUCUUCCCUCGACGCCGGCUCCCCUGUCCUCGCCACCUCUCCUCCUUUUCCUCCUCUCUCUCCCGCGCCGCCGUUCUGCCCCCAUCCACCCGUGCUCGACCCCGAACCUGGAUCCCAGCCCACCGGAUCGGAGGCGUCUGGGCGUGGAGGCGAGCUUUUCCGACGGCAGCGAUGACCACCAUCCAGGCCCCCUUGCUCACGGUGGAUAGGCUACGACCGAGGGGACGCAGAGGAGUAGCGGGCCUCGCGGAGGAGGGGCCGCAGCUGCGGGAGCUCUCCACGGAGGAGGAUUCCGUGGCGGUGGCGCGGAAGUAGCAGUGGAGGCCGGAAGAGCGCGGCGCGGCAUCACGUGGCUGCGGUGGCCGAAGGGGCGGCGCGGCGUUGCUGCCUCUACCUCCAUCCUGACCUUUUUACUCGCGCGCAGGUACCAAGUCGUCUCUCUCUCUCUCUUGAUUUGAUCCCCAUAAAUUCUCAUCUUCACCUAUGUGGAUUUUGUUUAUCUAUGCCUGCUAUGUGUUUGAAAAAAAUCCAAUCAGUAUGAGGAGAAGAUUUUGUGGUUGAUUUAGUUUUUAGGAUCUGCCGCCCCCUUUUUUCAUUUUUGCAACAACCUGUUUCAUGACGAGACCCAUCAAUUAUCUUUUCAUAUUUUGACAGUACUAUAUUGUUUACUUUGUGGAACUUUAGUUACCUGUAAGAUGCAAUCAACACCUUGAAAUAUUUGGUGUUUCUCGGUGCUCUGUCGUUGACCAUAAAAUCAUGAAAGUUUGUUAAUAACUUAGAAGGAUAUGAUUCCAGCAAUGUGUUUCACGCAUAUUAUGUACUAUUAGUGUGUGAACAAUAUUUUUCACGGGCUAUACUUUUCUCAGCAUGUUUCUAUCUGGUUGGUAUCCGCUGGUACCAUUCAUUGUGAGUGCUUUUAGGGGUUGCUCAACUCUCGGCUAUUUUCACCAUCUAAAUGAUUGCAUCUUCCCAUUCUCACAAUUUCUCAAAGGUUAUUGUAUUGAUACUAUGGAAUUUAUAGUGAAAAAACAAUAGGGUUCAAUUCGAUUCAUUUUGGAAACUCUAGCGGGGCCAUCCCAAAUUCCUCUCAGCUGUCAUAAUUGAAUAAAAGGGAUCGUAUAGCUUUCCAAUCCAGCAACAUACAUCUAUCACCUAGGCAUAACUGCCAACAUCAGCAAGUGCAUUUGCUCGUAAGGACCAUUCGAAGGCCAAGGCCACAGCUUACUGCGUACUGCAGCUCGGAUUGAUCUUGGGGCAUCGCCUGGGCCUACUUCUUGGAGUUGGCCUCCAUACAGGUUCGAGAUUAUUUACAGAAGACCAUGGUGUACUGCAUCAUAUCUACAUGGCAACACCGGUACAGUUACAGUGUGCUGAAUCAUAAGAGUACUACAACUCUGAAUCUUGAAAUGUUAAUAUUUACGUUCUCAUGAUUUUCUUGCAGUUCAUAGUACUUGCGAGUAUACCCCUAAAAAAUUAGUACUUGAGAGUACGACAAUCUUUUCUUUUGUUUGAUUACCUCAAGGCAAUCUCUUGAACUAAGCAGAGUUAUGUUUCCUAUGUACAGUUUGUUGCUCUCGCUCAACCAAUCAAUGCUUUAGCUUUUGUUUUUGACGGUGUCAAUUAUGGAGCAUCGGAUUUUGCAUAUGCUGCUUAUUCGUUGGCAAGUCCGCUAAUUUUCCAGCUUAUUUGUGCUCUGGCUUUCCAGCUUUCUCUUCUGACACAUUCCAUUGAAUUAGAGAAAAGUAUUCUUUUCAUCUCUCAAUUUUUGGCGAAGUCUAGAUUUAAUCCUUCAACUAUGAAACCGGACAACUUGCAUCUCAAACUCUUAAUACCGGACAAAUUUCGUCCCUUGUAGCAGCCGACCUAAUUUUGUUGCUUACUUGGCGUAGUGUUUGACUGGUUUUGACCGGUUCACGCCAACAUGGCAAAGGAGAUGGUAAAUCGCUCUUCGCUUCGGAACAAAAAAUAGCUUGCACCGGCGCCGGCGAUCUGGACGAUGCGGGUGCCAGCGAGGAGAGACUGCGCGAUGCCUGGGAGCGAGCUGGGCUGUCCGUGCGGCUGGACAAGCAAGCACGGGCACACGGAAUGGCCAGAGCUUCGUCGGCGACGACGUCCAGUGGAGGCAACGGGCGGCGCCAUGCAGGCAGCGAGCUAGAUGGCAUGGGGUGGCUCGGGGAGAGAGACUAAACGACCAUGGGUUCAUCUAUAGCACGUACACGUGCUCAGACGUGGCGGAUAAGCACCAGAGCGACGGCUGCGUCGACGGCAGCGGGCGGCGGAGCAUAGGCUCGCGGCUGGCUGAGCUCGUGGACGAGGGGCUUCUUUGGGAGGACGUGCGAGGCUUCAGUAGGACCACGGGGAGCUUAGGAAGCCGACAGGAAGAACCAGAGGUUGCCGGACGAGGAGCUCGCGGCGCGGCGAUGGUCACCGGAGUCGAGGAAGACGAUUUGGGCAGCGGCGAUUUAGGGCCUCGGCGUCGCUUCCUUUGGUUUUGUUACUAGAACGGCGAGGUGAAGCGUCUUGAUAUGGCGAGCCGUGGAGGAGGCCUAUGCCGCUACGGGCAACCCGUGCUGCUCACAACGAGUUGCAAAACGAUUCCCUCCUGCCGGCACAAUAACAGACACCAGCUGGCACAGCAACUAAAGACACAGGCGCUCCAUACCCCCUUGAGCGCUGGCUCGGCGCCAUCGCCGCCGGCAUCCUAGCAUGCCGCGGCAGCGCUUGUCGCCGGUGCACUCUAAGUGCUCGAUGAAAUGCCCAUUAGAGAGACAAUAGGAGGGAAGAAGAGAUAGGACAAGUAGGAUAGAAAAAUACUGCCACCUAGACAAUGACCGGUCAAAAACAUGCCAAGUCAGCUUGGAAACCGCUCCGGUUGUGUGGAGGGACGAAAUUUGUCCGGUAUUAAAAGUUUGAGGUGCAUGUUGUCCGGUUUCAUAGUUGAGGGACUAAAUCUAGAUUUCAUCAAGAGUUGAAGGAUGAAAAAUAUACUUUUCUCAUUGAAUUAUGUAUCCUCAGAUACUUGUGGCUGUUGUCAGCAUCGCUUGCAUUGUCACCCUCGCCAGUUAGAGUGAUUUCAUUGGAAUCUGGAUAGCCUUGUCCAUCUACAUGUGCCUCCGCAUGUUUGCAGGAUUAUGGAGUAUUGGGACUGCUAUCGGGCCAUGGGCUUUCCUUCGCAGCUGAACAUGUAACGUACAUUCUCGUAGAUAGUAUAAGGUAGGUAGAAUAUUUAUACUUGUAAGCAACUUUGGAGUUCAGACUAAGAUUUGGUGUGUCAGUAUAUGAAAUCUACUAUAAAUCAAAAGCCAAUAUAAAGGUAUGCUCCACCUUGAUUGUCGUUACUAUGUUCCACUCCUAUAUCGACCAGGGGAAGUUGUAUAUUAUGCCAAUUUUUCCUUCAAUUACUACUGUGUUUAGAGUGUACGUAUCGAAUGAACCAAUUCCUUCAGUUAUAUCAGUACAUAUUAAAACGAAAGGGUGUAUAUGAACAUAAGCAUUCAUACGAACUAAAAUUGUUUGGCAUUCAUUCCUUUCCUGCGGGUCAUUCAUCAUCUCGUCUCACAACACUCAUGCCACAUAACCUGGCGAGCUCACACCUUACUCAGUUCUAUGUACCAGCUAUGUAGAUUCAUUCACCGAACUGAGAUGAUGUUUGUGCUCAGUUAGAUGCUGCUUGCUCGAUUUUGACCAUGCUUGCUGCAAUAAUCAAUCUAUUUGAUAUGAGACCUAUUUGUUCUUUGUUGACGUUUGGUUACAAAUCCUGGAGCUAUUCUUUUUGUAUUGAGAAUAUUACCUUUUAUCACCUUAUUUGGCUGCAGUUCAUCUUUCCCAUUAGUUGUGUUAGUAAACUAAACUGAGAAUGUUUGUUAACUUUUUAUGGCUUGGGAUCUUGCAGCUGCUGCGGCUCGCUGUUUGUGUGGUGAGGGUUACUUCCCCUGGUGCAGUAAUACCAUUUUGGAGUGUCCCUUGUUUGCAACUAUAUUUAUCUACAGCCUCUGCUAACAGGGCUCCGGUUCAGAGAAAAUCAAAGGGUCAAACAAAGCUCGGAUGCACGUUUGUUGGUAGAUCAGUUUAAGUUGCUUUUAUUGAACCAAAAGUUAAUGUUGUUGGCCUUGCCAGCCUGCCAGCCCUCAAAGAGGUCGUUCAGCCUCGAAGGAGAGGGGAACUGAUGGAUGCUAGGGAAAGAAACUAGGUGAAGCUCUGAUGCUUGAUCGAGAACCAGAUGCUUUCAAAGUUCUUCUGGUUGAGUCGUUUACUUACUAGCAAUGACAUUCACAAUGGGAAGCCUUUAUAGCAGGCUACUUUGAUUGAUUCCCAAACUAUGGCUUAGUUACAAAUGUUUUGGCGGUGAUGUUUCAUACACCAGUCCAGUGUUGCUACCCAAUGAUGAGUUGUAUGAAGCACUUUGAAAUGCUUUGAAGAAAGUCUUUUAGGUGGCGGUUCUACUGCUGCUACUCCUGUGACAGCCAAGGCGUAGGUUGCAGCUCGCAGAAUUUUAAGGAGGAAAGGAAGACAUGAUUUCUUAUUGGUGAGGUGAGUUGUUUCCUUCAUAUACAAAUUGCAGCGAUGACAGACACUCACUGUGCUUGUUUGUUCAUGUAGAAAGUCAUUUGUUUUCAGUAGUAGAAACAUCUUGAUUAACCUAGCUGAAUUUUGUGGCUCAGUAGCCGCCUCCUGUAUGUAGGCAUGUUUAGAUCUUUUGUAGAAUCAGAUUGUUAAUAUUUCCUUAGAAGUAAAAAAGGUUACCUUUUGCAUUA